rnacentral:rRNA from 1 species
CCUACGGGGCGCAGCAGUGGGGAAUAUCGCACAAUGGGCGCAAGCCUGAUGCAGCCAUGCCGCGUGUAUGAAGAAGGCCUUCGGGUUGUAAAGGACUUUCAGCGGGGAGGAAGGUGUUGUGGUUAAUAACCGCAGCAAUCGACGUUACCCGCAGAAGAAGCACCGGCUAACUCCGUGCCAGCAGCCGCGGUAAUACGGAGGGUGCAAGCGUUAAUCGGAAUUACUGGGCGUAAAGCGCACGCAGGCGGUCUGUCAAGUCGGAUGUGAAAUCCCCGGGCUCAACCUGGGAACUGCAUUCGAAACUGGCAGGCCAGAGUCUUGUAGAGGGGGGUAGAAUUCCAGGUGUAGCGGUGAAAUGCGUAGAGAUCUGGAGGAAUACCGGUGGCGAAGGCGGCCCCCUGGACAAAGACUGACGCUCAGGUGCGAAAGCGUGGGGAGCAGACAGGAUUAGAUACCCGCGUAGUC